rnacentral:rRNA from 1 species
GACGAACGCUGGCGGCGUGCCUAAUACAUGCAAGUAGAACGCUGAAGGAGGAGCUUGCUCUUCUGGAUGAGUUGCGAACGGGUGAGUAACGCGUAGGUAACCUGCCUGGUAGCGGGGGAUAACUAUUGGAAACGAUAGCUAAUACCGCAUAAGAGUAGAUGUUGCAUGACAUUUACUUAAAAGGUGCAAUUGCAUCACUACCAGAUGGACCUGCGUUGUAUUAGCUAGUUGGUGGGGUAACGGCUUACCAAGGCGACGAUACAUAGCCGACCUGAGAGGGGGAUCGGCCACACUGGGACUGAGACACGGCCCAGACUCCUACGGGAGGCAGCAGUAGGGAAUCUUAGGCAAUGGACGGAAGUCUGACCGAGCAACGCCGCGUGAGUGAAGAAGGUUUUCGGAUCGGAAAGAUCUGGUGUAAGAGAAGAACGAGUGUGAGAGUGGAAAGUGCACACUGUGACGGUAUCUUACCAGAAAGGGACGGCUAACUACGUG